rnacentral:rRNA from 1 species
AUACGGAGGGUGCAAGCGUUAAUCGGAAUUACUGGGCGUAAAGCGCACGCAGGCGGUCAAUUAAGUCAGAUGUGAAAGCCCCGAGCUUAACUUGGGAAUUGCGUCUGAAACUGGUUGGCUAGAGUCUUGUAGAGGGGGGUAGAAUUCCACGUGUAGCGGUGAAAUGCGUAGAGAUGUGGAGGAAUACCGGUGGCGAAGGCGGCCCCCUGGACAAAGACUGACGCUCAGGUGCGAAAGCGUGGGGAGCAAACAGGAUUAGAUACCCUGGUAGUCCACGCUGUAAACGAUGUCGAUUUAGAGGUUGUGGUCUUGAACUGUGGCUUCUGGAGCUAACGCGUUAAAUCGACCGCCUGGGGAGUACGGCCGCAAGGUUAAAACUCAAAUGAAUUGGCGGGG